UACAGGGGGGGCAAGCGUUGUUCGGAAUUACUGGGCGUAAAGGGCUCGUAGGCGGCCAACUAAGUCCGACGUGAAAUCCCAAAGCUUAACUUUGGAACUGCGUCGGAUACUGGAUGGCUUGAAUUCGGGAGAGGGAUGCAGAAUUCCAGGUGUAGCGGUGAAAUGCGUAGAUAUCAGGAGGAAUACCGGUGGCGAAGGCGGCCUUCUGGACGGUGACUGACGCUGAGACGCGAAAGCGUGGGGAGCAAACAGG
rnacentral:rRNA from 1 species